UUACGGCCAUGUCAAGUUGAAAGACCCGUUUCAGUACGAUCUCUGAAGUUAAGCAACGUCGAGCCUGGUCAGUACCUAGAUGAGUGACCACUUGGGAAUACCAGGCACUGUAAG